CCUUGAACCAAACACUGUAAUAUUCUGCAGUAUGCUUAUCUUUACAAUGAUAGCAAUAUCCAAACCCAUUCCUCUUUAUGUCUUCAAAUAAGUGUCUGCCCUUAUCAGAGGAAUAAUCCGUCUCACCACAUAGAAGUUUAGGUGUAUAAUACACUGUAUAUCCAUACUUGCUUGUUAUAGUUGUUAAUUUAUGUAAAAUGGUUUUGUAAAGAGAUUGCGCAUUUUGAACAAUUUCAUUUCUUGUAAAUAUCUGUAGAGCAAUUGUUCUCCCUGACUUACAAAGAAAGAAUUUAUCUAGAUCAGUACUUCUUUUUAUACAAAAUAUUCCAAUUUUAUUAAACAGCUCAGCGUUUUCGAAGUAA
rnacentral:lncRNA from 1 species